rnacentral:rRNA from 1 species
CACGUAGGGGGCAAGCGUUGUCCGGAUUUAUUGGGCGUAAAGAGCUCGUAGGCGGCUUAGUAAGUCGGGUGUGAAACCUCCAGGCUCAACCUGGAGACGCCACCCGAUACUGCUGUGGCUAGAGUCCGGUAGGGGAGCGUGGAAUUCCUGGUGUGAGCGGUGAAAUGCGCAGAUAUCAGGAGGAACACCAGCGGCGAAGGCGGCGCUCUGGGCCGGUACUGACGCUGAGGAGCGAAAGCGUGGGGAGCAAACAGG